rnacentral:lncRNA from 1 species
ACCAUUAAUCUGGGGCUUCUUUUUAAGCUCUCCCCAAAAGGCAUGGAGACCCCCAGCCCUUGAAAGAUUACAAAACAGUGCUGGUGGAUAGAGGCCCAUUAGGAGAGACUUUGAAGCAACAAGCAGUGCAAAAAUGAUCAAGGAUUCUGAAAGGGUAUGGAUUGUUCAUUUGCAGACACUGCCCUGACAGCUAGAAGGUUCUAAACACAAGGAUAAGGGAUUAUACCCUUUAUUCACCUAAGCAUGCAACUUACUGAAGUCUGGAUUGUGCUUUGAUUUCAUGGCUUUAGGAACAUCAGUGACUAAACAGAAUCGAUCAUCUGGGUGGUUAUGAUUGGAAGUUAUUGCAGUUAAAUAAUGCUAAGUCUUUGAGACAAGCAGUAAACUCCAAAUGGAAUUCAUGGCUAAUAUCAGUGAGGCAGUCUACUGUGUAAUGUAGUAUUUAUCACCUCCUUUGGAAGACGAAUGAUCUUUUCGGUUUGCAUAAUGUAUUACAUUUUUGAAAUUCAUAUAUCAUCUGUGUUUUAUAUAAUAAUAAUACAAUAAAACGUUCCUAGAAUGUGACAUGUUGAAAAACAUUGUCUCCUUAAACAAAUGAACAUGUGUAUAUUAUUUAAGAACCCAUAACUGAGGUAUUUUCC